rnacentral:rRNA from 1 species
GAUGAACGCUGGCGGCGUGCCUAAUACAUGCAAGUCGAGCGAACAGACGAGGAGCUUGCUCCUCUGACGUUAGCGGCGGACGGGGGAGUAACACGUGGAUAACCUACCUAUAAGACUGGGAUAACUUCGGGAAACCGGAGCUAAUACCGGAUAAUAUAUUGAACCGCAUGGUUCAAUAGUGAAAGACGGUUUUGCUGUCACUUAUAGAUGGAUCCGCGCCGCAUUAGCUAGUUGGUAAGGUAACGGCUUACCAAGGCAACGAUGCGUAGCCGACCUGCGAGGGUGAUCGGCCACACUGGAACUGAGAGACGGUCCAGAAUCCUACGGGAGGCAGCAGUAGGGAAUCUUACGCAAUGGGCGAAAGCCUGACGGAGCAACGCCGCGUGAGUGAUGAAGGUCUUCGGAUCGUAAAACUCUGUUAUUAGGGAAGAACAAAUGUGUAAGUAACUAUGCACGUCUUGACGGUACCUAAUCAGAAAGCAACGGCUAACUACGUG